GACGAACGCUGGCGGCGUGCUUAACACAUGCAAGUCGAACGGAAAGGCCCUGCUUUUGUGGGGUGCUCGAGUGGCGAACGGGUGAGUAACACGUGAGUAACCUGCCCUUGACUUUGGGAUAACUUCAGGAAACUGGGGCUAAUACCGGAUAGGAGCUCCUGCUGCAUGGUGGGGGUUGGAAAGUUUCGGCGGUUGGGGAUGGACUCGCGGCUUAUCAGCUUGUUGGUGGGGUAGUGGCUUACCAAGGCUUUGAAGGGUAGCCGGCCUGAGAGGGUGACCGGCCACAUUGGGACUGAGAUACGGCCCAGACGCCUACGGGAGGCAGCAGUGGGGAAUAUUGCACAAUGGGCGGAAGCCUGAGGCAGCAACGCCGCGUGCGGGAUGACGUCCUUCGGGUUGUAAACCGCUUUCGCCUGUGACGAAGCGUGAGUGACGGUAAUGGGUAAAGAAGCACCGGCUAACUACGUG
rnacentral:rRNA from 1 species